CGAUGUUCUGUGUCGUCGCUUUUUUAAAAGUUUGUUGUGUGGUGUACAGUUAGAAAAUCAAGAUGUAUGUCACAUGGAGCACUUGACUAAACAAACUUUGUUCUCGGCUAGAGUUUGAAGCAAGCUAUUGAACUGUUCACCAUUCCACCGCCUUACAGAACCACCCACUGUAACUGUUUUGAAGCCAUAGUUGCUUGCACCAUUCUCCCAGAGGUGGACUUGGGGAUGUUUUUGGGGGAGGAGUGAAACAGUCUGUCAGAACUAGUCAUACAGCAAAAAUUUGAGGGAGCCAUCUGGAGGUGGCAUUGAGGCAGCAACAACACACAUCACAACCUGUCGGUGAUGUGUCCGGCGCCAUCACCACAUACAGUUCAAUUGUUGGCUACCCUCACCACAUGUAGGGGUUUUCAGCGACCCCUUAGCAGCUUCCCGGCCCAUCGUGGAGGCCAUCCAUGUGUUUUGGACCAUCACAGAUGUAUUGGUUAUGCAAUUUUGAUGCAAAAUUGAACCUGAAAACCUGAUAAAAUGUGGAUUCCAGUGGAUAAAGCUCAAUGUGUGUGGCCUGGUAGAUACAGACGAUAUCAGAUACCCAAGUGCAACGAACCUUUUGGAAUUGGAAUACAUCAUGUAUGGAAACAGGUGAUGCAAUUUUGAUGCGAAAUGGAACCUGAAAACCUGCUAAAAUGUGGAUACCAGUGGACAGAGCUCAAUGUGUGUGGCCUGGUAGAUACAGGCGAUAUCAGAUACCCAAGUGCAAUGAUCCUUUUGGACUUGGAAUACAUCAUUUAUGGAAACAGUGCUCACAAGACAUUUACGGUGGGGUGUGCAGUUUAGAACAGUUCUCCAUCUACCCCUCAGCGCUCACCAGAAUUAUUCAAAGUGGGGCACUCUGCCAAUUCUAAGAAGCAGGCCAAAGAUGUCCUGGUAAGCAGCACAUUGUCAAUGCUGCGAGACAUAAAAACAGCAAUGAAUGGGAGCAGUGAGGAUGACGAGUUGGGCCAAUAUGUUGCAGCUGAGGUGAUUACAACUAAAAAUAGAACACUGAAUGCAGAAGCAACGUGCCUUAUCAUGAAUGCCAUCAUGGGUGCAAUUCAGAAAGUUACUGAUUGUUAAUUU